GGCUAGCUCAAUCGGUAGAGCGUGAGACUCUUAAUCUCAAGGUUGUGUGUUCGACCCGUAAGUGCUUUA
rnacentral:tRNA from 1 species